rnacentral:rRNA from 1 species
GUAACACGUAGUCAACCUGCCCUGGAGACAUGGACAACCCCGGGAAACUGGGAUUAAUCCGUGAUAGGUCAUCUCAUCUGGAAGGAGAGAUGGCUUAAAGGGGUACGCGGGCUUCUUCUGCGUAUUCGCUCCAGGAUGGGACUGCGUCCGAUCAGGCUGUUGGCGGGGUAAUGGCCCACCAAACCUGUAACCGGUACGGGCCUUGAGAGAGGUGGCCCGGAGAUGGACACUGAGAGAAGGGUCCAGGUCCUACGGGGCGCAGCAGGCGCGAAACCUUCGCAAUGCGCGAAAGCGUGACGAGGUUAAUCCGAGUGGCCCCCGCUGAGGGGGUCUUUUGUCGGCUGAAAAUAGGCGGACGAAUAAGGCGAGGGCAAGCCUGGUGCCAUCCGCCGCGGUAAUACCAGCUCGCGCGAGUGGUCUGGGCUAUUAUUGGGCGUAACGCCUCCGUAACCGGUUCCGUACAUCCCCUGUUUAAUCCA